CCUACGGGUGGCAGCAGUGGGGAAUAUUGGACAAUGGGGGGAACCCUGAUCCAGCCAUGCCGCGUGUGUGAAGAAGGCCCUCGGGUUGUAAAGCACUUUCAGUGAGGAAGAACGCCUGGUGGUUAAUACCCAUCAGGAAAGACAUCACUCACAGAAGAAGCACCGGCUAACUCCGUGCCAGCAGCCGCGGUAAUACGGAGGGUGCGAGCGUUAAUCGGAAUUACUGGGCGUAAAGCGCGCGUAGGUGGCUUGAUAAGCCGGUUGUGAAAGCCCCGGGCUCAACCUGGGAACGGCAUCCGGAACUGUCAAGCUAGAGUGCAGGAGAGGAAGGUAGAAUUCCCGGUGUAGCGGUGAAAUGCGUAGAGAUCGGGAGGAAUACCAGUGGCGAAGGCGGCCUUCUGGACUGACACUGACACUGAGGUGCAAAAGCGUGGGUAGCAAACAGGAUUAGAUACCCGUGUAGUC
rnacentral:rRNA from 1 species